rnacentral:misc_RNA from 1 species
GAUGAAGAACGUAGCGAAAUGCGAUAAGUAAUGUGAAUUGCAGAAUUCCGUGAAUCAUCGAAUCUUUGAACGCACAUUGCGCCCCCUGGCAUUCCGGGGGGCAUGCCUGUCCGAGCGUCAUUUCUGCCCUCAAGCCCGGCUUGUGUGUUGGGCGUGGUCCCCCCGGUUUAGGGGGGACCUGCCCGAAAGGCAGCGGCGACGUUCCGCCUAGGUCCUCGAGCGUAUGGGGCUUUGUCACCCGCUCGGGAGGGGCCUACGGGCGUUGGCCAUCCACCAUUUUUUUUUUUACGGUUGACCUCGGAUCAGGUAGGAGUUGCCCGCUGAACUUAAGCAUAUCAAUAAGCGGAGGA